CCGUGCCCGUGGAGAUUCCUCCUCCGCCUCUCUCUCGAUCUCUCUCGACGAGAAGGCUGAUGCCUGCAGAACAAUCUACGCUCCCGAUCUUCCCGUCCUGCCCUAACUAAGCGGCCAAUCCAUGAAGGAGCAGCGCCAAAUAUCCUUUGACUUGCCCCCUGAGAGAGGUGAGGAUCGAGAAGGGGAAUGGGUGCGAUGAUCGAGGCGGACCGGCUGCUGGCUGCGGCUUCUGCGCGAUUUGCUUGGAGAAGAUCGCUCUGCAGGAUAUGGCGCUUGUUAAAGGCUGCGAGCACGCCUACUGAUUUAUGUUGAGAAGUUUGUGCCUAUGCAUUCAUUAUUGUUUGCUGUGGGCAGUGUGACGUGCAUGCUGCGCUGGGCAUUAUACAAUGAAAAGCCUUCUUGUCAUCAGUGUAAGCAUCCAUUUGAAUUCCUGAACAUUCUCCGUUCCUGGAAGGCAGCAUCCACGACUGUAUGUUUGAGGAGAGUGUUUGCCUCUUCCUUGGAACAAGCUGGUUUGAAACUUCCGAUGAGGUAGAAGAAGAUGCUUUACAGUAUGAAUAUGAUGAUGAACUCGAUGACUUAGAUGAAAGCUAUUAUGUUACUAGCAAAUCAAGUAUUCAUAUAGGCAAUAGGAGAUGGGGCGAUAAUGGUUACGUGAAGGUAGGCAGGAACGCAGCACGACCUCUUCUUAAUCGUUACGACGCAUACGCCGGGGUCCAACCCGCGGUCCAAAGAAGAAAGAAGCACGAAAGGAUGUCACUGGCAGAAGGGCGAAAAGGGCCCUGAAGCGAGAGGCUGCAGAGAAAGCUGCCGCCGGCAAGCACCAGCUGCAUUUGCAGAGGCUGGGCCGCUAGUAGUAGUUUCGUGUUUCAAUGUCUAUGAUGCUGCUUCUCAGUGUAUAAUAAACCAGCAGCAUUCUGUACAGUGUGUUAACCUCUCUUCAAUCAUGUUAGCUCGAAUGCGGAGAACUGCCACUAUGCACUUUAUUCAACGAUUUCAGAUAUUACUUCUGCAUCAUCUUGUCUGGGUGCAGUCGCGCCGAAACUCAUGAUAGGUGUUGAAUGUUCUUGAUCAUGGCUGUAUGCUUUGUGAGUGUGAUGCUGUAAUCUUAUUGUGGCAAACACCAUUGUCCACUUCAA